rnacentral:rRNA from 1 species
CGUAACGCGUAUGCAACCUGCCUGACACAGGGGGAUAAUCCGAAGAAAUUUGGUCUAAUACCCCAUAAUACCGAUAUAGGCAUCUAUGUUGGUUGAAAGCUUUGGUGGUGUCAGAUGGGCAUGCGUUGUAUUAGCUAGUUGGUGAGGUAACGGCUCACCAAGGCGACGAUACAUAGGGGGACUGAGAGGUUAACCCCCCCACACUGGUACUGAGACACGGACCAGACUCCUACGGGAGGCAGCAUG